AAUAAGAGGUCGGGCAGGCGGGCAAGCUAGCUCCCUUCUAGUCAAUGGGGCGAAGGCUGGGGACGCCGGCAGAGGAAGCCUAACGUUCUGGGCCCCCGGGCCCAGGCGCAUCCUCCCUCCGCGCUCCCGCUCCCAGGCUGGGCUCGAGUCGGGUCUGACCCCGCAGGCUCGGGCGACCGCCGGCCCCGGCGAGAAGCGCUUCCCCCAGGCUUCUUCCCUCGGGGGCCCAGACCCGGAGAGGAGCGUCUCCUCUGACUCCAGCUUUGAGUCUCCCACGUCCCGCACAACAGGCGCCACCAGCAGGGAUCCCGGUUAGGGAGGCUCACAGAAGACGCGCGAGAAAGGGGGUGAAGGAAAGAGAAAAGGGACGGAGCAAAGGGGCGCAGAGUGAUUUUUCACGGUAAAUAAAACACUGGCACACGCAGAGGGUAAGUUUGGGGAGAAAAUGAGGGGCGAGCGAAAACCCAAGGAAGAGGAGCAGGUGGAGUGGUCCCUCCACGCGCGGGAGCGAGCGGGUCUCCGGCUGGGCGACGCGGGCUAGGGAGCCAGCCGACGCAGCCCAGCUGGCCCGAGCAGGUUCAACCACUGGAGCGCGAGACGGACCGCGCGACCCACCUGACUGAGAAGCGCUGGGCUGGACGGUCCCCGCCGCCACGAGAAGGCUCAUCCAGCCCCACAGUCCUGUCGCCAGCUUCAUUUUUUGGAAGUCUCAGAUCCCGUGCUGACAAUUACAUGUCCAAAUGGCAUAUCCCCUUUCGGGCACGCGGAGGAGAUCCCUCAGCCGGGCGCGCGUGGGGGCGCGAAGGGGGGCUGGUGCGCUCGGUGCACCCGCUCCGAGUCCGCGCCCGCGGGUCCAGGGCCCGGGCCCCAAGAGCAAGAGAGGGUGCGCGUGAGGGUGAGCGCGGGUGGGAGUGUGCUCGAGUGUGUGCGCCGUGCUCCUGGCCGGGGACCGGGCAGCUAUUUCCCUGUGGGAGCCUUCGCGUUCUCGCUCCCUCCUCACUUUCUCACUCUCUCUCUCUCUCACUGGUUGGUCAACAAUAAAAAGGAAGGGUUCGGAAAAGGGUUUCCAAAAAAAGUUGAUUGCAAAGAGGCGGUAGGUUUCCGGCCUCUCCCCCCAGCCGGUCUCUGUUCAGCUCCCUUUUCAGUUUCCUUGCACCUCCAGUCCAAAUUGGGAGGAAAGGGAGGGGUGGAGGGGGGGAAGCUUCUUGCUUUACCCCCGGUCCUGUCCUUCUUUUUUCCUGUCAGCUUUCCUCACACUUGUCCGGCGGCUG
rnacentral:lncRNA from 1 species